rnacentral:rRNA from 1 species
GACGAACGCUGGCGGCGUGCUUAACACAUGCAAGUCGAACGGUAAGGCCUUCGAGUUCACGAGUGGCGAACGGGUGAGUAACACGUGGGUGAUCUGCCCCCUACUCUGGGAUAAGCCUGGGAAACUGGGUCUAAUACCGGAUAUGACCUCCUUCUGCAUGGUUGGUGGUGGAAAGUUUUUUCGGUAGGGGAUGAGCCCGCGGCCUAUCAGCUUGUUGGUGGGGUAAUGGCCUACCAAGGCGACGACGGGUAGCCGGCCUGAGAGGGCGCCCGGCCACACUGGGACUGAGAUACGGCCCAGACUCCUACGGGAGGCAGCAGUGGGGAAUAUUGCACAAUGGGCGCAAGCCUGAUGCAGCGACGCCGCGUGGGGGAUGACGGCCUUCGGGUUGUAAACCUCUUUCGACAGGGACGAAGCUUUGGUGACGGUACCUGUAUAAGAAGCACCGGCUAACUACGUGCCAGCCGCCGCCGUAACAC